rnacentral:rRNA from 1 species
AUGGCUUUCCUCCACUCCAACGCCGUGCGGACGACGCCAUGGAAGGGCCACCAUGACCAGGAGCAGGACGACGCCUUGGAAGGUUCACCGACAGCAGCAGCUACGGUCUGGUCUUCUCCACUGACAGGUAUAUGGACAUGGAGGUCCGCCAUGGAAGGCCUGGAGCUCGUCAUGGAGGGUCCCUCCUCUCUCUUCCCCUCCCUCCACUCUGUUGGUUGGUUGGACGGAAGACCACCACUCGUCCGGCUCUGCUUCUUCCACCGUUGCUCCCCUCCCACCAUUGUGCCAGAGACGCUGUGCCAAGCACGGAAGGUCUAA